rnacentral:rRNA from 1 species
AGGGAAUAUUGCACAAUGGAGGAAACUCUGAUGCAGCGACGCCGCGUGAGUGAUGAAGGCCUUCGGGUUGUAAAGCUCUGUUCUUAGGGAAUAAAAAAAUGAAGGUACCUAAGAAGAAAGGACCGGCUAACUUCGUGCCAGCAGCCGCGGUAAGACGAGGGGUCCAAGCGUUGCUCGGAAUCAUUGGGCGUAAAGCGGGUGUAGGCGGCUUUGUAAGUCAGGAGUGAAAGCCCUGGGCUCAACCCAGGAAGUGCUUUUGAUACUGCAAAGCUUGAGUGUGGGAGAGGAUAGUGGAAUUCCAGGUGUAGUGGUGAAAUACGUAGAUAUCUGGAGGAACACCGGAGGCGAAGGCGGCUAUCUGGCCCAACACUGACGCUCAGACCCGAAAGCAUGGGGAUCAAAC